GAGAAAUGGGCUGGUCGCUCCUGGG
rnacentral:piRNA from 1 species